CCCUUAGAGACUGAACUCCGCCAGGUGGUUUUGGUGAAAAAACGAUACAAGUCGGGGCCUCCCCUGGUGGCGCAGGCGGUUGAGCGACCUGCUGUGAAGCUGUCCCCAGCCACUGCAGUGCAGGUUCGAUCCCGCCCACCUUGGAGCAACCCACAUGGUGCGGCAGACCUCUCUUGUCUUACCCGCUGCUCCCCCCAGCAGUGUAUUUCGUCAGUCUGCCUGUUCUGUUCCCCACGCUGUCUCUGGUGAAUCCUCUCAGAGACAGGUUCCUCAUCCCUCCUCCCUCAGAGAGUCUGAAAUACUCAACGCUGCGGGUAUGUGUGAGGACUGUUGACUUAAGCAGAGCCUAGGAGCACACACUGACACUGAAAUAGGGAAAGCUAUUCCCAAACAGGCUGUAAGCCCUGCAUAAGCUGUGUAGGCUCUCUAACUCUUGGUAAGGAAGUGUUCCAGGCCCAAGGGCCAAGUAUAUUCUUAUGUAGCAAGAGGAGGUUGAAAGACCACAGGCAAUGCUUUUUUUUUUUUUUAAAGAUUUAUUUAUUUAUACAAGUACCGGGUACAGUCAGAAGCACAGGAGGGUGAGAGAAUUCACCAGAGCCAGAGCAGGGAGCAGGCAGACUGAGGAAGUACACUGCUGAGGGGAGCAGCGGGUGGCAGGAGAGGUCUGUGCGCGAUGUGGGACCCUCAUCCGGUGUCCAGGGAUCGAACCCACGCUGCAGAGGCUGCAGGUAGCUUCGCAACCCAGCGCUCAACCACUGCACCACCAGGGGAGAUCCACACAGGCAAUGCUUUCUUCCCACCAUACUCCAUGAAGAAUUAUUCCUGACUUCCAGUUGAUAUGACUGAUGUCCUUACUGAUGGUCAACUGGAAGCCACUCUGCUGGAGGUGGCCUGCAUUCCUUGCCAGGCAGCCCCUCCAUCUUCAAGCUAGCCAUGGGGAAUCUCCCUUGCCUCCGGCGUGCCUGAUACAGGCACCCUAGCCUUCUCUGCACGCAGGGGUCUGCGCUGAGAAGAGCCAGGAUCCGACCUGAUGGCUCCCCAUGCAUCUCCAUCAGGAUGGGCGGAGCCAACAGUGGCCGCUGAGCCGCAGGAGGUCCAGGGGCAGCAGAGAACCACGCCCCUUUACACAGGCAGCCAAUCAGGACUUGAGGUGCUGCUCCUGCCAUUGUGCAUGUUUUCACCAUUAUGAAGAACUGGCCUUUGACGGUUUAAGUUUUGGGGUUCCAGUUGGAACAAAAGGAGGCGCAGUGGGUUUGGCUCUCUGUUUUCAACACACUUUGGGCCUGUCUUGGUCUCACUGGAAAGAUCAUGGCCGGCAAAGGAAAGAUUCCCGACGACCAGCCAGAUGACAAAGCUGCACCAGGCCCUGAGGCCCCACCAGGCGCCAAGGCCCCUCCAGGCGCCAAGGCCCCGCCAGGUGCCAA